GUAAGGUGAUAUGAACCGUUAUAACCGGCGAUACCCGAAUGGGGAAACCCAGUGUGACUCGUCACACUAUCAUUAACUGAAUCCAUAGGUUAAUGAGGCGAACCGGGGGAACUGAAACAUCUAAGUACCCCGAGGAAAAGAAAUCAACCGAGAUUCCCCCAGUAGCGGCGAGCGAACGGGGAGGAGCCCAGAGCCUGAAUCAGCAUGUGUGUUAGUGGAAGCGUCUGGAAAGGCGCGCGAUACAGGGUGACAGCCCCGUACACAAAAGCGCAUGUGCUGUGAGCUCGAUGAGUAGGGCGGGACACGUGGUAUCCUGUCUGAAUAUGGGGGGACCAUCCUCCAAGGCUAAAUACUCCUGACUGACCGAUAGUGAACCAGUACCGUGAGGGAAAGGCGAAAAGAACCCCGGCGAGGGGAGUGAAAAAGAACCUGAAACCGU
rnacentral:rRNA from 2 species